UGUAUUUUGGAGAGGAUGUUUCGGGCCACCUGCCUUCCGGGUUCCUUGGAACGGGACGCCAUAAAGGGUGAGAGCCCCGUACGGUUGGAUGCCUAGCCUCUGUGAAACUCCUUCGACGAGUCGAGUAGUUUGGGAAUGCUGCUCUAAAUGGGAGGUAUACGUCUUCUAAAGCUAAAUACCGGCCAGAGACCGAUAGCGCACAAGUAGAGUGAUCGAAAGAUGAAAAGCACUUUGAAAAGAGGGUUAAAAAGUACGUGAAAUUGUUGAAAGGGAAGCGUUCAUGACCAGACUUGGGCAGGUUGAUCAUCCGUGGUUCUCCGCGGUGCACUCUGCCUGCCCAGGCCAGCAUCAGUUCGCCCCGGGGGAUAAAGGUUUUGGGAAUGUGGCUCCCUCGGGAGUGUUAUAGCCCACUGCGUAAUACCCUGGGGUGGACUGAGGUUCGCGCUCUGCAAGGAUGCUGGCGUAAUGGUCAUCAACGACCCGUCUUGAAACACGGACCAAGGAGUCGUCUUCGUAUGCGAGUGUUCGGGUGUCAAACCCCUACGCGUAAUGAAAGUGAACGUAGGAGAGAGCUUCGGCGCAUCUCCGACCGAUCCUGAUGUUCUCGGAUGGAUUUGAGUAAGAGCAUACGGGGCCGGACCCGAAAGAAGGUGAACUAUGCCUGUAUAGGGUGAAGCCAGAGGAAACUCUGGUGGAGGCUCGCAGCGGUUCUGACGUGCAAAUCGAUCGUCAAAUAUGGGCAUGGGGGCGAAAGACUAAUCGAACCUUCUAGUAGCUGGUUUCCGCCGAAGUUUCCCUCAGGAUAGCAGUAUUGGACUCAGUUUUAUGAGGUAAAGCGAAUGAUUAGGGACCCGGGGGCGCUAUAUUGCCUUCAUCCAUUCUCAACUUUAAAUAUGUAAGAAGCUCUUGUUGCUUAGUGGACCGUGAACAUUCGAAUGUAUUCAAUACUAUGAGCAAUUUUGGUAACAAAACUGGCGAUGCGGGAUGACCCGAGCGCGAGGU
rnacentral:rRNA from 1 species